rnacentral:lncRNA from 1 species
GAGGCGUCAGGAUGCAAUGGAAACAUUUGGGAAGGAGUUGCAAGGAUGUGGUGGGAUGCAAUGGGGGGUUGGGAAGGGGUUGCAAGGAGGCGUCGGGAUGCAAUGGGGAGGUUUGGGAAGGGGUUGCAAGGAGGCGUCGGGAUGCACCGAGGACCCCCCAAUUUUUUGGCAAGCACUAGUCGCGAGGGUUUUGCAGCCCCAGCCUCCUUGCAGGGGGGGUCACCCGCCUCGCAGGCACCUCCCUCUUCCCUCGCCCCCCCCCUCCAGUCCCCAUCUCGAAGCCGCAAGUGGUGGUGGCCUCCUCGACGGUGCUGGAGCUCAGCGAGUUCUUCACCCUCAACUGCUCGCACGAGAACGGCACCAAGCCCAGCUACACGUGGCUCAAGGACGGGCGGCCGCUGAGCAACGACUCCCGCCUGCUGCUCUCGCCCGACCACAAGGUCCUCACCAUCACCCGCGUCCUCAUGGCCGACGACGACGUCUACAGCUGCCUGGUGGAGAACCCCAUCAGCCACGGCCGCAGCGUCCCCGUCAAGCUCACCGUCUACCGCCGCAGCUCCCUCUACAUCAUCCUCUCCACCGGCGGCAUCUUCCUCCUCGUCACGCUGGUGACCGUCUGCGCUUGCUGGAAGCCCUCCAAAAAGGGCAAGCGGGGAGCGGAGGCGCCCGGCGCGGCCGACUUCGCCGAGCAGGACGAGGAGCACCUCAAGCACGAGGGUGAGCGCGGGCGGGGGGGUGAGGGUGUCCCCGGGGUGUCCC